AACGAACGCUGGCGGCAUGCCUAACACAUGCAAGUCGAACGAGACCUUCGGGUAUAGUGGCGCACGGGUGCGUAACGCGUGGGAGCCUGCCCUUAGGUGCGGAAUAACUCCCCGAAAGGGGUGCUAAUACCGGAUAAUUUCUUCGGACCAAAGAUUUAUCGCCUUUGGAUGGGCCCGCGUUGGAUUAGCUAGUUGGUAGGGUAAAAGCCUACCAAGGCGACGAUCCAUAGCUGGUCUGAGAGGAUGAUCAGCCACACUGGGACUGAGACACGGCCCAGACUCCUACGGGAGGCAGCAGUGGGGAAUAUUGGACAAUGGGCGAAAGCCUGAUCCAGCAAUGCCGCGUGAGUGAUGAAGGCCUUAGGGUUGUAAAGCUCUUUUACCCGGGAUGAUAAUGACAGUACCGGGAGAAUAAGCACCGGCUAACUCCGUG
rnacentral:rRNA from 1 species